rnacentral:tRNA from 1 species
GCCUUAUUAGUAUAAGUAAUAUACCAUUUUUCCAAAAUGGGGAUCUAAAAAUUAGAUAAGUCA